GUCUCCUCGGAGACACCUUCUUAAAUUGGAACAACGUACAGAGAAGAUUAGCAUGCCCCUGCGCAAGGAUGACACGCAUAAUUUGAGAAGUGGUCCAAUUUUUU
rnacentral:snRNA from 2 species